AUUGAACGCUGGCGGCAGGCCUAACACAUGCAAGUCGAACGGUAACAGGAAACAGCUUGCUGUUUCGCUGACGAGUGGCGGACGGGUGAGUAAUGUCUGGGAAACUGCCUGAUGGAGGGGGAUAACUACUGGAAACGGUAGCUAAUACCGCAUAACGUCGCAAGACCAAAGAGGGGGACCUUCGGGCCUCUUGCCAUCGGAUGUGCCCAGAUGGGAUUAGCUAGUAGGUGGGGUAACGGCUCACCUAGGCGACGAUCCCUAGCUGGUCUGAGGGGAUGACCAGACACACUGGAACUGAGACACGGUCCAGACUCCGACGGGAGGCAGCAGUGGGGAAUAUUGCACAAUGGGCGCAAGCCUGAUGCAGCCAUGCCGCGUGUAUGAAGAAGGCCUUCGGGUUGUAAAGUACUUUCAGCGGGGAGGAAGGGAGUAAAGUUAAUACCUUUGCUCAUUGACGUUACCCGCAGAAGAAGCACCGGCUAACUCCGUGCCAGCCGCCGCCGUAA
rnacentral:rRNA from 1 species